AACGCACAUUGCGCCCUUUGGUAUUCCGAAGGGCAUGCCUGUUCGAGCGUCAUUAUCACCCCUCGAGCCCCCGGGCUUGGUGUUGGACGGCUUGGUCGCGCUCCGGCGUCGACCCCUCCUAAAGACAAUGACGGCGGCCUCGUGGAGCCCCCGGUACAGUGAGCUUCUUAACUGAGCACGUAUCGGAUUAUAGGGCGCCCGGGUCACGGUCUCCUCUCGUCCCUCUGGGCGGGAACCCCCCUUUUUUAUCAAGGUUGACCUCGGAUCAGGUAGGAAUACCCGCUGAACUUAA
rnacentral:misc_RNA from 1 species